UUAACACAUGCAAGUCGAACGGUGAAGGGAUCAGCUUGCUGGUUCUGGAUGAGUGGCGAACGGGUGAGUAACACGUGAGUAACCUGCCCCCUUCUUCUGGAUAACCGCAUGAAAGUGUGGCUAAUACGGGAUAUUCUGGGUCUGUCGCAUGAUGGGCCCGGGAAAGAUGCGCCUUUGGGUGUUUUUGGUGGGGGAUGGGCUCGCGGCCUAUCAGCUUGUUGGUGGGGUGAUGGCCUACCAAGGCGGUGACGGGUAGCCGGCCUGAGAGGGUGGACGGUCACACUGGGACUGAGACACGGCCCAGACUCCUACGGGAGGCAGCAGUGGGGAAUAUUGCACAAUGGGCGCAAGCCUGAUGCAGCGACGCCGCGUGAGGGAUGGAGGCCUUCGGGUUGUAAACCUCUUUCGCCAGUGAAGCARGCCUGUCCCUUUUGUGGGUGGGUUGACGGUAGCUGGAUAAGAAGCGCCGGCUAACUACGUGCCAGCAGCCG
rnacentral:rRNA from 1 species